CUACGGGACGCACCAGUGAGGAAUUUUGCGCAAUGGGGGAAACCCUGACGCAGCAACGCCGCGUGAGCGAAGAAGGCCUUCGGGUCGUAAAGCUCUGUCAAGUGGGAAAAAGGCCUUUCGAUUAAUACCCGAAAGGUUUGAUGGUACCACUGGAGGAAGCACCGGCUAACUCCGUGCCAGCAGCCGCGGUAAUACGGAGGGUGCAAGCGUUGUUCGGAAUUACUGGGCGUAAAGGGCGUGCAGGCGGUUUGGCAAGUCAGAUGUGAAAGCCCUGGGCUUAACCCGGGAAGUGCAUUUGAAACUGCCUUUCUUGAGUAUGGGAGAGGAGAGUGGAAUUCCCAGUGUAGAGGUGAAAUUCGUAGAUAUUGGGAGGAACACCCGUGGCGAAGGCGACUCUCUGGACCAAUACUGACGCUGAGACGCGAAAGCGUGGGGAGCAAACAGGAUUAGAUACCCUCGUAGUC
rnacentral:rRNA from 1 species